rnacentral:rRNA from 1 species
AUUGAACGCUGGCGGCAGGCCUAACACAUGCAAGUCGAACGAGUGGCGGACGGGUGAGUAAUGUUUGGGAAACUGCCCGAUGGAGGGGGUUAACUACUGGAAACGGUAGCUAAUACCGCAUACCAUCGGAUGUGCCCAGAUGGGAUUAGCUAGUAGGUGGGGUAAUGGCUCACCUAGGCGACGAUCCCUAGCUGGUCUGAGAGGGUGACCGGCCACACUGGAACUGAGACACGGUCCAGACUCCUACGGGAGGCAGCAGUAGGGAAUAUUGCACAAUGGGCGCAAGCCUGAUGCAGCCAUGCCGCGUGUAUGAAGAAGGCCUUCGGGUUGUAAAGUAAUUUCAGCGAGGAGGCGGUACUCGCAGAAGAAGCAACGGCUAACUCCGUGCCAGCAGCCGCGGUAAUUC